GAAUGGAGUGAGACAAGGAUUGUGUUUUGGAUGAAUUCACUUAAGAGAAUCAUCUCUCAGUGUCAAUAUAUAUAUACAUAGGUACAGAAAUAAAAUCCCUUAAUACUAGGAGAUAUGAUAGAAUCAGAUCCCUUAAUACUAGGAGAUAGAAUCAGAUCCCUUAAUACUA